CUUGAAAGAGUAAUGCAAUUAAAGACCGCGAUCGCAAUGAAAAUCCUUAAGCUUACGUUUUUGAUGGCAAUGAUAGGUGCAUUGAUGAUCUUCUCCACAUCAGUUGAGGGUUACGCUGUCGGUGAAGCCCAACAUCAUCGCCUCCAACGAGACGUACCUUGCGGCGGAAUCAACAUGAACAACUGCGGAACGAUAUGCACCGCCCAGGGAAAACGUCCCAACGGAAUGUGUCAGAUAGGCGCUUGCAUUUGUAUCUGAAAUACCCGCAAAUGAAUAAAAUGAAAAAUCCCAAAUACUAUGUUUGUUGCGUAUUAUACCAUUGAGUGACAAAACUCGGUUCUUCCCCGCGAGAUAAACCAGGGGUAUAUAAAUUCUGACCGCGUACUUAAUCAGUCAAACUGAGUUUGUCAGAUAUUAGAGAAUCUAUCGUCAUGGCGAAAUUUCACGGAUUCUUCGUUCUGGUGGCACUGGCCCUUGUGAUUAUUUCGGUUGCGGAUGCAGCCUACGGAGGUGCUGAAGAGGGACAUUCUCGUAUCCAACGGUCCGUGCCUUGCGAAAACAUCGGUAUGCACAACUGCGCCACAAUCUGUGGUGCCAGAGGAAAACGUCCCACCGGAAGAUGCGAAAUCAACCAGUGCAUCUGUUAUUGAGAACAACGAAUAUUCUUCUUCAUAAA